ensembl:lncRNA
GUGCGGCCCGGGGGGCUGCGAAGACACAGCCAGGGCGGCCGCCGCAGCCCCUCCUCGGCACCGGCACCGGCACCGGCACCGGCACCGGCACCGGCCUCCCAGCCUGCGCAUGCGCACGCAGCCUCGCCCACCGUCUCGGCAGACACCGCCUUUCCGGAAAGCGCCGCGGUGCCGCGCGCCUGCCCCGCCCCUGGCGCGCGGCCUAUUUAACGGGAUUCCCGCCCCGAGCUCGCUCCUUCCGUGCGCCCUGCGGCCCUGAGGAGGGGGGCGGGGCGGCACCGCACCGCAGCGGCCGCCCCAGGGUACCGAGCGGCCGCGCCCCGCCCGGGUUUCGGGAGGCAGCAAGUGAAGUUAAGAGAUGAGUUUGUUACUGGCUUUGGGAAUCUUCAAUCUGGACUCUGCCACACUGUUACCAUGCAAGCAGAAAGAUGUCACGUGAAUCCUGGAGCUACAGAAGUGCAAUUGAGAUCAAAUUACCUUGUCCACUGUCUUCGAGGCUUGUGUAUGCACACACAGCCAACAGUAGCCUCCAUGGAAGUGUGGGUGUUUAAGAAGCUUGAAAACAGCAGCCUGAAAUGUGGAGUUCUAAUGCACUUGGAAAUGCUUUCAUGGCCCUUCCUGCUCCUCAAAAAUACUGCUUGA